UUCAAGAUGUAUUUUUCAAAUUCCUCGUUUUUGAUCUUCCGUCAAAUAUUCUGAGCUAUAUAGUUUAAAAAAAGAUUUUAAAUCAUAUAAUACAUAUGUUUCGAAGACUGUUUCGGAAGACACCACUCUUUUUCAUCAGCGGAAGUUUCUUUUUCAAUAAUGAAAAAGAUGGUAAAUCGGACAACCUACAUUUCUGCAGCCAUUGGGUUAUAAAUUAAAGAGCGAUGCGUGCUUUUCAGCAUUUUCAUAAGGGCUAUGCUUUUCAGAAUAUAACUCUUGGGUGCCAAGCGAAAAGAGUUUAAUGAAUCGACUUCAUAAAACUUUUCGAUCACUUUAAAUGCCGCUUUUCCGACUAUGUCGUGUGUCAAGAAGUUAUUUUUAACACUCUUGAAUAAAUGUACGUAAUCGCA
rnacentral:sRNA from 1 species